rnacentral:rRNA from 1 species
AUACGUAGGUGGCAAGCGUUAUCCGGAAUUACUGGGCGUAAAGGAUGCGUAGGUGGAUAUUUAAGUGGGAUGUGAAAUCCCCGGGCUCAACCCGGGAACUGCAUUCCAAACUGGAUAUCUAGAGUGCAGGAGAGGAAAGCGGAAUUCCUAGUGUAGCGGUGAAAUGCGUAGAUAUUAGGAGGAACACCAGUGGCGAAGGCGGCUUUCUGGACUGUAACUGACACUGAGGCAUGAAAGCGUGGGUAGCAAACAGGAUUAGAUACCCUGGUAGUCCACGCCGUAAACGAUGGGUACUAGGUGUAGGAGGUAUCGACCCCUUCUGUGCCGUCGUUAACACAAUAAGUACCCCGCCUGGGGAGUACGGUCGCAAGACUAAAACUCAAAUGAAUUGACGGGG